rnacentral:misc_RNA from 1 species
AAGUCGUAACAAGGUUUCCGUAGGUGAACCUGCGGAAGGAUCAUUAACACGUAUCCAACGUUAAACCCCCCCGUGAACCUUCAGAGCGUUCUUGCCGCCAAUCAGCAAUCCUGGUAAAUCAAGUGGGAAUAUCCGUUAUUGAUUCAGGACCUCUGCUGUCAUGUGUUAGGGAAACCAUAGCGGCAAUUGAGAGCUUUUAUCGUUAGUUUGGCGUCCUGGCCGGGCGAGUGAAAGUGUCGCUAGACGGUUUCUAGGGUAAGGCUUCGCCAUCGCUGGAGGCUCACCACGUAGCCGGCGGACAAACUACAGGGCUAUAUGCCCCCUAAUGACGACCAAGUUAAAUAGGGCCUCUGUCACAUAGCAAGUGCGCCGUGCCAGAGGAAAAGUACAACUGUUAACAAUGGAUAUCUUGGUUCUC